rnacentral:rRNA from 1 species
GAUGAACGCUGGCGGCAGGCCUAACACAUGCAAGUCGAACGAGUGGCGGACGGGUGAGUAAUGUCUGGGAAACUGCCCGAUGGAGGGGGAUAACUACUGGAAACGGUAGCUAAUACCGCAUACAAUCGGAUGAGCCCAGAUUGGAUUAGCUAGUAGGUGGGGUAACGGCUAACCUAGUGGACGAUCCCUAGCUGGUCUGAGAGGAUGACCGGCCACACUGGAACGAAGACACGGUCCAGACUCCUACGGGAGGAAGCGGUGGGGAAUCUUGCACAAUGGGCGCAAGCCUGAUGCAGCCAUGCCGCGUAUAUGAAGAAGGCCUUCGGGUUGUAAAGUACUUUCAGCGAGGAGGCGUUACUCGCAGAAGAAGCACCGGCUAACUCCGUGCCAGCAGCCGCGGUAAUAC